rnacentral:rRNA from 1 species
UACAGAGGGGGCAAGCGUUGUUCGGAAUUACUGGGCGUAAAGGGCGCGUAGGCGGCCUGCUAAGUCGAACGUGAAAUCCCCGGGCUCAACCCGGGAACUGCGUCCGAUACUGGCAGGCUUGAAUCCGGGAGAGGGAUGCGGAAUUCCAGGUGUAGCGGUGAAAUGCGUAGAUAUCUGGAGGAACACCGGUGGCGAAGGCGGCAUCCUGGACCGGCAUUGACGCUGAGGCGCGAAAGCCAGGGGAGCAAACGGGAUUAGAUACCCGUAGUCC